CCUACGGGGGGCUGCAGUGAGGAAUAUUGGUCAAUGGGCGCGAGCCUGAACCAGCCAAGUAGCGUGAAGGAUGACUGCCCUACGGGUUGUAAACUUCUUUUAUAAAGGAAUAAAGUGAGGCGCGUGUGCCUUUUUGUAUGUACUUUAUGAAUAAGGAUCGGCUAACUCCGUGCCAGCAGCCGCGGUAAUACGGAGGAUCCGAGCGUUAUCCGGAUUUAUUGGGUUUAAAGGGAGCGUAGAUGGGUUGUUAAGUCAGUUGUGAAAGUUUGCGGCUCAACCGUAAAAUUGCAAUUGAUACUGGGAGUCUUGAGUACAGGUGAGGUAGGCGGAAUUCGCGGUGUAGCGGUGAAAUGCUUAGAUAUCACGAAGAACACUGAUGGCGAAGGCAGCUUACUAAACUGCCACUGACAUUGAUGCUCGAAGGUGUGGGUAUCAAACAGGAUUAGAUACCCGUGUAGUC
rnacentral:rRNA from 1 species